rnacentral:rRNA from 1 species
GAUGAACGCUGGCGGCGUGCCUAAUACAUGCAAGUCGAACGCAUUGUGGUUGAAAUGAUAUGAAGAACUUGUUCAGAUUUGAUUUUCAACAUUGCAAUGAGUGGCGAACGGGUGAGUAACACGUGGGAAACCUACCUCUUAGCAGGGGAUAACAUUUGGAAACAAAUGCUAAUACCGUAUAAUAAUUAAAACCGCAUGGUUUUAGUUUAAAAGAUGGUCUUGCUAUCACUAAGAGAUGGUCCCGCGGUGUAUUAGUUAGUUGGUGAGGUAAUGGCUCACCAAGACAAUGAUACGUAGCCGAGUUGAGAGACUGACCGGCCACAAUGGGACUGAGACACGGCCCAUACUCCUACGGGAGGCAGCAGUAGGGAAUCUUCCACAAUGGACGAAAGUCUGAUGGAGCAACGCCGCGUGUGUGAUGAAGGGUUUCGGCUCGUAAAACACUGUUGUAAGAGAAGAAU